rnacentral:rRNA from 1 species
AGAGUUUGAUCAUGGCUCAGGACGAACGCUGACGGUGUGCUUUAGGCAUGCAAGUCGAACGAGAAAGCCCUUCGGGGUGAGUAGAGUGGCGAACGGGUGAGUAACACGUGGGCAACCUGCCCCUCGCAGGGGGAUAACCGGAGGAAACUCCGGCUAAUACCCCGUAAGCUUUCAGGGUCGCAUGGCUCUGUAAGGAAAGGUAGCUUCGGCCAUCCGGCGAGGGAUGGGCCCGCGGUGCAUUAGCUAGUUGGUGGGGUAAAGGCCCACCAAGGCGACGAUGCGUAGCUGGUCUGAGAGGAUGAUCAGCCACACUGGGACUGAGACACGGCCCAGACUCCUACGGGAGGCAGCAGCCAGGAAUCUUGGGCAAUGGGCGAAAGCCUGACCCAGCAACACCGUGUGGGCGAUGAAGGCCUUCGGGUCGUAAAGCCCUGUUGAUAGGGACGAAGGGCGAAGGGUUAAUAGCCCCUAGCCUGACGGUACCUUUCGAGGAAGCCCCGGCUAACUACGUGCCAGCAGCGGCGGUAAUAC